GAGGGUAUAGCUCAAGAGGUAGGGUGCAUGCUUAGCAUGCAUGAGGUCCUGGGUUCAAUCCUCAGUACCUCCU
rnacentral:tRNA from 1 species